rnacentral:lncRNA from 1 species
AUGAUGGAUGCCAACCAGCGCUGGGAUGUGCCUGAGGCGGUGGAGUGGAUGUCCAAGCUGGCCAAGUUCAAGCCAUUGUGGAUUGAGGAGCCAACCUCCCCUGAUGACAUUCUGGGGCACGCCACCAUUUCCAAGGGUGUGUGAGUAUGUUGACCACCUGCAUGAGCAUUUCAAGUAUCCCGUGAUGAUCCAGCGGGCUUCCUACAUGCCUCCCAAGGAUCCCGGCUACUCAACAGAAAUGAAGGAGGAAUCUGUAAAGAAACACCAGUAUCCAGAUGGUGAAGUUUGGAAGAAACUCCUUCCUGCUCAAGAAAAUUAAGUGCUCAGCCCCAACAACUUUUUUCUUUCUGAAGUGAAAGGGCUUAAAAUUUCUUGGAAAUAGUUUUACAAAAAUGGAUUUAAAAAAUCCUACCGAUCAAGAUGAGUUCAGCUAGAAGUCAUAC